rnacentral:rRNA from 1 species
GAUGAACGCUGGCGGCGUGCCUAAUACAUGCAAGUCGAGCGAACAGACGAGGAGCUUGCUCCUCGGACGUUAGCGGCGGACGGGUGAGUAACACGUGGAUAACCUACCUAUAAGACUGGGAUAACUUCGGGAAACCGGAGCUAACACCGUAUAAUAUAUUGAACCGCAGGGUUCAAUAGUGAAAGUUGGCUUUGCUGUCUGGUAUAGAUGGAUCCGCGCCGCAUUAGGUAGUUGGGAAGGUAACGGCUUACCAAGGCGACGAUGCGUAGCCGACCUGAGAGGGUGGUCGGCGACACUGGAGCUGGGACACCGACCAUACUCCUACGGGAGGCACCAGUAGGCAAUCUUCCGCAAUGGGGGAGAGCCUGACGGAGCGACGCCGCGUGAGUGAUGACGGUCUUCGGUUCGUAAAACUCUGUUAUUAGGGAAAAACAACUUUGUACGUAGCUAAGCACGUCUUGACGGUACCUGGUCAAGAAGCCCCGGCUAACUACGUG